GCCCGGCCACCCCGCCCCUCGCCGCUUCCCGGCAUCCCCACACCGCGCCGCCUCCCCAUCACCAGGGCCCGGCCGCGCGAGAACCUCAGACCGCUGGCCGACCCCACACGCCCCCCGCGCUCCCCCUGGAUCAGGUCCUUCCCUCGCCUCCGGUGCAGUCCAACCGCGAUCUCCGUGCGGUUCAACUUCGGCCCCGGCGCCUCACGCUCUCUGCUGGUAAAGCUGAGCGAGAGUGCUCGAUUUCCUCUGCCUCCCUGCUGGCAACCAACAGUAGCCAUGCGACCCUCCCUCUCCAGUACCAUUACUCCUCCGUCAAGGUCAUGUCCCUGCCUCCAGCAGAUGGGCCGAGCACCAGGCCACCCAUGUCAACCAUCUUCUUCCUCAGUACGUGUGUUGAGGAUUGCAUCUUGCCAAUAAAGGUUUAAAUUAGGUCAGAUUUUGAAAUGCUAUUGGGGAAGGUCUGGUGUUUAGUUGGUGGCUAUGUGGUACCUACACCGGGCACUUUCCAUCAAGACCUUCAAGAAGAGAUGUCAUCUCAAGGUAUUUUCAAUAUUUUUUGGCAAAAUGGUCAUGGAAGUUGAACAAAUGCCAUGGAAUUCUUGUCAAGACAUCCGGAAGUUCAACAAUAAAAGAUACAUAAGUACAUGUGGAUGAAGCCUCGGGGCCAGCAGCCACCUGAAUACAAGUGUUUGCAGUUUGCUCACCAUAAUGUUGAAUGAGACUACAUCAUUAUUACUCAAAAAAAUUAUUUUGUAUUUGUUCAUAAUUGUUCCCUGUAUCGGCGACAAAAAUGAUUUUUUUCUAGUUAAUGCAAUCCUCCUGUUGAAGCACUAAAAAGCGCUACUUGUUGAUACUGAAGAAAAGGAAGAGGACCAAGUGUGCUGGAAGUUUUUUUGUACCCAUGUGCGGAAGCACUUUAUUUUUCUGAUAAUUAUUAGUGUUCAUGUGGGUGCUUGAAAAGUUCUGUACAAGAAUAGGCCGAUGAUUUUUGUGCUGAGGUCGGUGCUAUGGAUAAUAUCAUUCAUGUACAUCUAUUAUGUGUGGAAAAAAUUUAUGUCAGAUGAAAAGGAAAAAACGGUUUGAAUUACAAA
rnacentral:rRNA from 1 species